ACGGGGGGUGCAAGCGUUGUUCGGAAUCAUUGGGCGUAAAGCGCGUGUAGGCGGCUUGACAAGUCAGAUGUGAAAUCCCUGGGCUUAACUCAGGAAGUGCAUUUGAAACUGUCAGGCUAGAGUAAGGGAGAGGAAAGUGGAAUUCCUGGUGUAGAGGUGAAAUUCGUAGGUAUCAGGAGGAACACCGGUGGCGAAGGCGACUUUCUGGCCCUAUACUGACGCUGGGACGCGAAAUCGUGGGUAGCAAACAG
rnacentral:rRNA from 1 species